rnacentral:rRNA from 1 species
UCCCCAAGUAGCGGCGAGCGAACGGGGAGCAGCCGAGUAAUUAUGAGGUAGUGGAAUGUGUUGGAAAGCACAGCGAUACAGGGUGAUAGCCCCGUACACGAAGCCGCAUAGUUGCCAUAUUAAGUAGGUCGGGACACGAGUUAUCUUGACUGAAGAUGGGGGGACCAUCCUCCAAGGCUAAAUACUCCUAACUGACCGAUAGUGAACCAGUACCGUGAGGGAAAGGCGAAAAGAACCCCUGUGAGGGGAGUGAAAUAGAACCUGAAACCGUAUACGUACAAGCAGUAGGAGCAGGCUCUCGCAAGAGAAUAGUCCUGUGACUGCGUACCUUUUGUAUAAUGGGUCAGCGACUUAUAUUUAGUAGCAAGGUUAACCGAAUAGGGGAGCCGUAGCGAAAGCGAGUGUUAACUGCGCGUUGAGUUGCUAGGUAUAGACCCGAAACCCGGUGAUCUAGCCAUGGGCAGGUUGAAGGUUGAGUAACAUCAACUGGAGGACCGAACCGACUAACGUUGAAAAGUUAGCGGAUGACUUGUGGCUGGGGGUGAAAGGCCAAUCAAACCGGGAGAUAGCUGGUUCUCCCCGAAAUCUAUUUAGGUAGAGCCUCGGACGAAUACUUACGGGGGUAGAGCACUGUUAAGGCUAGGGGGUCAUCCCGACUUACCAACCCUUUGCAAACUCCGAAUACCGUAAAGUAAUAUCCGGGAGACACACGGCGGGUGCUAACGUCCGUCGUGAAGAGGGAAACAACCCAGACCGCCAGCUAAGGUCCCAAAGUCAUAGUUAAGUGGGAAACGAUGUGGAAAGGCCCAGACAGCCAGGAGGUUGGCUUAGAAGCAGCCAUCCUUUAAAGAAAGCGUAAUAGCUCACUGGUCGAGUCGGUCUGCGCGGAAGAUGUAACGGGGCUAAACUAUGCACCGAAGCUGCGGAUUCAGAAUUUAUUUUGAGUGGUAGGGGAGCGUUCUGUAAGCGGUUGAAGGUGUACCGGGAGGUAUGCUGGACGUAUCAGAAGUGCGAAUGCUGACAUGAGUAACGAUAAUGCGGGUGAAAAACCCGCACGCCGGAAGACCAAGGGUUCCUAUCCCAUGUUAAUCAGGGUAGGGUAAGUCGACCCCUAAGGCGAGGCCGAAAGGCGUAGUCGAUGGGAAACGGAUUAAUAUUUCCGUACUUGGUAUAAUUGCGAUGGGGGGACGGAGCAGGCUAAGCAAGCAUGGCGAUGGUAGUCCAUGUGAAAGUGUGUAGGCUAGCGACUUAGGUAAAUCCGGGUUGCUGUUAGGCUGAGACACGAGACGAGUCACCAAGGUGAUGAAGUUGCUGAUGCCAUACUUCCAGGAAAAGCCUCUAAGCUUCAGAUUAUACCGAAUCGUACCCCAAACCGACACAGGUGGUCAGGUAGAGAAUACUAAGGCGCUUGAGAGAACUCGGGUGAAGGAACUAGGCAAAAUCGUACCGUAACUUCGGGAGAAGGUACGCUCCUAUCUGUGAUGAGACUUGCUCUCUAAGCGGACGGGAGCCGCAGUGACCAGGUGGCUGGGACUGUUUAUUAAAAACACAGCACUGUGCAAAAUCGCAAGAUGACGUAUACGGUGUGACGCCUGCCCGGUGCCGGAAGGUUAAUUGAUGGGGUUAUCUUCGGAGAAGCUCUUGAUCGAAGCCCCGGUAAACGGCGGCCGUAACUAUAACGGUCCUAAGGUAGCGAAAUUCCUUGUCGGGUAAGUUCCGACCUGCACGAAUGGCGUAAUGAUGGGGGCGCUGUCUCCACCCGAGACUCAGUGAAAUCGAAAUCGCAGUGAAGAUGCUGUGUACCCGCGGCUAGACGGAAAGACCCCGUGAACCUUUACUAUAGCUUCACAGUGGACUUUGAACCUGUUUGUGUAGGAUAGCUGGGAGACUUUGAAGCAGUGACGCUAGUCAUUGUGGAGUCGUCCUUGAAAUACCAGCCUGGCAUGUUUGAGGUUCUAACCUGGGUCCCUUAUCGGGAUCGGGGACAUUGUGUGGUGGGUAGUUUGACUGGGGCGGUCUCCUCCCAAAGAGUAACGGAGGAGCACAAAGGUACCCUCAGCACGGUCGGACAUCGUGCAAAGAGCGUAAAGGUAGAAGGGUGCUUGACUGCGAGACUUACAAGUCGAGCAGGUGCGAAAGCAGGUCUUAGUGAUCCGGUGGUUCUGUAU